UACGUAGGUGGCAAGCGUUGUCCGGAAUUAUUGGGCGUAAAGCGCGCGCAGGCGGAUUGGUCAGUCUGUCUUAAAAGUUCGGGGCUUAACCCCGUGAUGGGAUGGAAACUGCCAAUCUAGAGUAUUGGAGAGGAAAGUGGAAUUCCUAGUGUAGCGGUGAAAUGCGUAGAUAUUAGGAAGAACACCAGUGGCGAAGGCGACUUUCUGGACGAAAACUGACGCUGAGGCGCGAAAGCCAGGGGAGCGAACGGG
rnacentral:rRNA from 1 species